UACGGAGGGGGCCAGCGUUGUUCGGAAUCAUUGGGCGUAAAGGGCGCGUAGGCGGCCGGGUAAGUCUGACGUGAAAUCCCUUGGCUCAACCAAGGAAUUGCGUCUUAAACUGCCUGGCUUGAGUCCGGGAGAGGGUAGUGGAAUUCCCAGUGUAGCGGUGAAAUGCGUAGAUAUUGGGAGGAACACCGGUGGCGAAGGCGGCUACCUGGACCGGUACUGACGCUGAGGCGCGAAAGCGUGGGGAGCAAACAGG
rnacentral:rRNA from 1 species